rnacentral:rRNA from 1 species
UACGUAGGGGGCAAGCGUUGUCCGGAAUUAUUGGGCGUAAAGAGCGUGUAGGCGGUUCGGUAAGUCUGUCGUGAAAUCCUGAGGCUCAACCUCGGGCGUGCGAUGGAUACUGCCGGGCUAGAGGAUGGUAGAGGCGAGUGGAAUUCCCGGUGUAGCGGUGAAAUGCGCAGAUAUCGGGAGGAACACCAGUGGCGAAGGCGGCGACCUGGGCCAAUACUGACGCUGAGGUGCGAAAGCGUGGGGAGCAAACAGG